CAAGAUAAAGCUAUUAUCACUCAUUUCCCUCUUUAAUGGAGAAAGGAAAUUCGGAUACGUCACUACCAGUUGCCUUGAUUGUGGGUGUCACGGGCAUGGUAGGCUUGAGCUUGGCAGAAGCUCUGAAGAAACCAACAGAAUUCUCAUUAUCGCCUGAAGGAAAAUUCCCAUGGAAAGUGUAUGGAGUAGCUAGGCGACCCUUGCCAACCUGGUUCCCUCCUUCUUUGCUCGACCAUUUCAUAUCAUUGGAUGUCCUAGACCAAACCGAUACAGUCCAGAAACUCACUCCUAUAUCUAAUCAAGUCACUCAUGUCUUCUGGGUUGCCCUCCAAAUUCGUGAAGCUGAAGAAGCUAAUGUAACUGUGAAUUCUACCAUGCUAGCCAACGUACUUGAUGUGCUCAAAUCUGCCUCUCCUUCCAGGCUUAGGCAUGUAUCCUUGCAAACAGGGACAAAGCAUUACAUGGGUCCGAUAUUUGAUCCUCAACUUGCAGACCAGCUUGUCCAUCACGAGCCACCAUUCGAGGAGCACUUGCCUAGGCUACCUUACCCCAACUUCUACUAUGCUUUAGAAGAUCUAGUGGCAUCUUACUCACCUUCCAUUUCUUAUUCUGUGCAUAGAUCCUCUAUAAUAAUAGGUGCAUCUUCAAGAAGUUUUUAUAACUGUCUGCUCACUUUAUCUGUAUAUGCGACCAUUUGUAGGCACAAAGGGCUACCUUUUAAGUAUCCCGGAAGCAAAUACACAUGGGAGCAUUUCUGUGAUAUGACAGAUGCAAGAGUACUAGCAGAGCAACAUAUAUGGGCAGCAGUGACAGAUACGGCUAAGAACCAAGCUUUUAAUUGCAGCAAUGGCGAUGUUUUCACUUGGAAAAGCUUAUGGAAGGUUCUGUGUGAGGUAUUUGAUGUUGAAUUUGUGGAUUUUGAUGAGAAUGAAAGUUUUGAUUGGGCUGAGAUGAUGAAGGACAAGGGAAAAGUGUGGGAUGAGAUUGUUAAAAAGUAUGGGCUUUUUAAGACUAAUAUGGAGGAUAUUGCUUGUUUUGAUGCCACCAAUAUGGUGUUGCAUUUGAAGCUUCA
rnacentral:misc_RNA from 1 species